GUGCACCACUUUGAGAGUCGUGAGGAAGUUCCCGAGGAAGAGCAGCAAAAACGUGAACGCCAACACGAAAACCUGAGAGCGGCAGAGGAGGAGAAAAAGGAAAGAAACAUUUGCCACGGGUGCCUUUGAUCCAAAGCACCUUCCUAUGGUGCUGCAACAGCCACAGAGGGCGGAAUGGGAUCACUCAACUUACGUGCCCGAAGAACAAGAAGGGAAGGAGAAACGUCAGCCCUCGCCACAUCCAGGACUGGAAUCCUUCUGGAAAUGUUCAAAGAGGCAGCAGGUCUUCAUGUCUGGCCCCGCAGCAAUGCCCCCUCUCUGGAAAGCACCCCAAAACGGGAACCCCCACCCGCAGCCCUGGGGACAGCCGUGCUUGCAGAAGCGAUGGCUUCAUCCCUGCUGCCCACACCAGCGCUGGGAACCCUGUCCUCCAGCAGCUCCCAGAAACCAGCCCGUUUUUACAUCAUUAGAUGUAGAACUUUAUCUCUGGGCUAACAGGAUGCUGGCUCCUCAAAAGGUGGCAAACAAGACAAGUUAGAGCCCAAUUAAUUAACGCAACAGGGAGCUGCAAACAUUGCAGCAGCAGCCACCAACCAACGCACAUGGGAAGAGACGCGGCGACUGCUGCAGUUUCCCUGCGCCAGCCUGUCUGGGUGAUGAAAACUGGGGACACGCAGCCAUCAGGUUAUUGCUAAAAUCCAACACCAGACUCCAGGUUCAGUUACACAAAUGCAAACUCCAGCAACUUCUUGACCCAGACCCAAGGGAAAUAGU